GUGCUCGCCUCAGCAGCACAUACACCAAAAUUGGAAUGAUACAAAGAAGAUUAUCAUGGUCCCUGUGCAAAGAUAAAAGGCACGUUCAUGAAGCAUUCCAUUAAAAC
ensembl:snRNA U6 U6 spliceosomal RNA